rnacentral:rRNA from 2 species
UGACGGUAUUUAACCAGAAAGUCACGGCUAACUACGUGCCAGCAGCCGCGGUAAUACGUAGGUGGCAAGCGUUAUCCGGAUUUAUUGGGCGUAAAGAGAGUGCAGGCGGUUUUCUAAGUCUGAUGUGAAAGCCUUCGGCUUAACCGGAGAAGUGCAUCGGAAACUGGAUAACUUGAGUGCAGAAGAGGGUAGUGGAACUCCAUGUGUAGCGGUGGAAUGCGUAGAUAUAUGGAAGAACACCAGUGGCGAAGGCGGCUACCUGGUCUGCAACUGACGCUGAGACUCGAAAGCAUGGGUAGCGAACAGGAUUAGAUACCCUGGUAGUCCAUGCCGUAAACGAUGAGUGCUAGGUGUUGGAGGGUUUCCGCCCUUCAGUGCCGGAGCUAACGCAUUAAGCACUCCGCCUGGGGAGUACGACCGCAAGGUUGAAACUCAAAGGAAUUGACGGGGGCCCGCACAAGCGGUGGAGCAUGUGGUUUAAUUCGAAGCUACGCGAAGAACCUUACCAGGUCUUGACAUCUUGCGCCAACCCUAGAGAUAGGGCGUUUCCUUCGGGAACGCAAUGACAGGUGGUGCAUGGUCGUCGUCAGCUCGUGUCGUGAGAUGUUGGGUUAAGUCCCGCAACGAGCGCAACCCUUGUUACUAGUUGCCAGCAUUAAGUUGGGCACUCUAGUGAGACUGCCGGUGACAAACCGGAGGAAGGUGGGGACGACGUCAGAUCAUCAUGCCCCUUAUGACCUGGGCUACACACGUGCUACAAUGGACGGUACAACGAGUCGCGAACUCGCGAGGGCAAGCAAAUCUCUUAAAACCGUUCUCAGUUCGGACUGCAGGCUGCAACUCGCCUGCACGAAGUCGGAAUCGCUAGUAAUCGCGGAUCAGCAUGCCGCGGUGAAUACGUUCCCGGGCCUUGUACACACCGCCCGUCACACCAUGAGAGUUUGUAACACCCAAAGUCGGUGGGGUAACCUUUUAGGAGCCAGCCGCCUAAGGUGGACUGAGA